CCGCUGCGGGGAGGGCGGCUCGGGGCGACCCAGCGUGGCCGGCCACCUGCGACAGGUGGCCGCACGUCUCGGGGAGACCUGGGCCUCGGAAGCGCGGACGGAGCGAAGGCGCCACGGAAACCCAUUAGUCUUCCUCGGCGGUGGUCGAAACUUGCUGGCGGUUUCUUGCUCACCUUUCCCGUUUCCCCUUUCAAAAGGGAUGAAGAGGAAGGUUAUCAUGGCUUAGGGCCGGAGCACCCACGGUAGUCACCAAGUGUGGAGUCCAGGGGACAGUUUGUCCUGAAGGGUGAGAAGAGCUGGGAUGGAAUGGAGGGGCAGUGAAGGCAUGUUGGAAGCGGGGGGGGGGGGGGGGGGGGGCGGGCAGCCAGUGGGCCAGAAGGGUCACCAGCGGUGACUGAGGGGAUGCCUAGCCGAAGUCUCUGGCCUUGAACCUGGGACCUGCUUGGGCCUCCAUCACCUGCAUGGAGAGAAGAAACACAGUUAAGAGUGGGGAGUAGUGGAGCCACAAGCAGAACUGAGGUUUGGGGUCUGGGAGCCAAGAUCCCAAGGCACGUGGGCAAACUUGCAUGGUUGGCCCCACAUGCCGGCCCUUUCCUUGGCUGGAGUGCUGAAUGGGAGGUUCAAGGAGACUGGAGAAUGAAACAGCAGGUGCAUUCUGGGAUGCUUUUAUCCUAAUAAAACUCCUCCAAAGACUUUGCUGUUUUCCCUCUGCUCGAUAGCCAGGAUCUGGUUUCAGACCUGCCACCCCAUUCUCUCAGCAACACCUCCCUGCUUGGUGCUUGUCCCCAGCUGACCUCCAUCCAUUUCUAUCAUGUUUUAGCCUGUCGGAAGUCGACCUGUGUGACCAAGCCUAUGUGCUUACUGACUGCUGUAGUUUGGAUUGUGUCCCCCAAAAGAUAUGUUGAAGUCUUGAACCCAGUACCUUAUUGGAGAGAGGGUCUUUGCAGAUGUAAUUGAGUUAAGAUGAGGUCAUCAGAGCAGGUCCUAACCCAAUAUGAUUGAUGUCUUUAUAAGAAGAAAAGACAGACACACAGAGGGAGAAGACAGCCAUGUGAUGACAGAGACCAAGGUUGGAAUGAUGCAUCUACCAGCCAAGGAACACCAAGGAUUGUCAGCAAACACCAGAAGCUAGAAGAAACAAGGAAGGAUCCCCGACAGGUUUCAGAGGGCAUGUGACCCUACCAACAUCUUGAUUUUUAAUUUCUAGCCUCCAGAGCUGUAAGACAACAACUUUCUGUUGUUUUAGGUGCCCCUGUUUGUGGUACUUUGUUACAGUAGCCCUAGGAAACAAAUAUACUGAGUGACCAGCUAUGUGGGAUUUACCUCCCAAAUAGAGCACUAACAGUGCUUAAGUCCAUGCCUGGAGCUCUGUUCUCCAGAGAGCUGUGACUGUGACUGGAACCAAAGACCUGAAUAAAAUGAAAGGUGAUAUUUGAGGACAGAGAUUACAGACAGAGGGAAGAGUCAAUGCAAAGGUGGCAGCAUGCUUGAUGUGUUAGAGGACCAGGAAGAAAGGUAGUGUGUUUGGAAAAUGAAUAAGGGGAAGAGUGUCAAGAAAUGAAGUCAAAGAGGGAGCCAAAGAAGACACCAUCCCUAGGGCCUUAUGGACCAUAGAAAGGACUUUGGAUUUUUUUAAACAAUGUAUUAUUGAAAUGUAAUUUACACUUAGGAGUAAAAUGAAUAAAUCUUAAGGGUAUGGUUUUGUGAAUUUUUUUUUACAUAUUGCUCUGGUUUGAAUAUGUCCCCCAAAAUGCAUGUGUUAAAACCUAACCCCCCAGGUGAUGGUAUCGAGGUUGGGCCUCUGGGAGGUGAUUAAGUCACGAGGGCAGAUAUAUUGUAAAAGAAACCCAAAAGAGCUCCCUUGCCUCCUUCUGCCAUGUGAAGACACAGGAAGUCUGCCAUUUGGAAGAAGGCCAUCACCAUGCUGGUACCCUGACCUCAGACUUCCAGCCUCCACAACUGUGAGAAAUAAAUUUUCAUUGUUUACAAGCUA